rnacentral:rRNA from 1 species
UGGGGAAUAUUGCGCAAUGGAGGAAACUCUGACGCAGCGACGCCGCGUGGGUGAUGAAGGCCUUCGGGUUGUAAAGCCCUGUCGGCUGGGAAAAAGGUUGCCGUGCUAAUACCACGGUGGCUUGAUGGUACCAGCAAAGGAAGCACCGGCUAACUCUGUGCCAGCAGCCGCGGUAAUACAGAGGGUGCAAGCGUUGUUCGGAAUUACUGGGCGUAAAGGGCGUGUAGGCGGCCUAGUAAGUCAGAUGUGAAAGCCCGGGGCUUAACCUCGGAAGUGCAUUUGAAACUGCUAAGCUAGAGUGAGGUAGAGGUUGGUGGAAUUCCCAGUGUAGAGGUGAAAUUCGUAGAUAUUGGGAGGAACACCGGUGGCGAAGGCGGCCAACUGGGCCUUAACUGACGCUGAGGCGCGAAAGCGUGGGGAGCAAACAGGAUUAGAUACCCGCGUAGUCC